UGAUAUGAACCGUUAUAACCGGCGAUUUCCGAAUGGGGAAACCCAGUGUGUUUCGACACACUAUCAUUAACUGAAUCCAUAGGUUAAUGAGGCGAACCGGGGGAACUGAAACAUCUAAGUACCCCGAGGAAAAGAAAUCAACCGAGAUUCCCCCAGUAGCGGCGAGCGAACGGGGAGGAGCCCAGAGCCUGAAUCAGUGUGUGUGUUAGUGGAAGCGUCUGGAAAGGCGCGCGAUACAGGGUGACAGCCCCGUACACAAAAAUGCACAUGCUGUGAGCUCGAUGAGUAGGGCGGGACACGUGGUAUCCUGUCUGAAUAUGGGGGGACCAUCCUCCAAGGCUAAAUACUCCUGACUGACCGAUAGUGAACCAGUACCGUGAGGGAAAGGCGAAAAGAACCCCGGCGAGGGGAGUGAAAAAGAACCUGAAACCGUGUACGUACAAGCAGUGGGAGCCUCUUUAUGGGGUGACUGCGUACCUUUUGUAUAAUGGGUCAGCGACUUAUAUUCUGUAGCAAGGUUAACCGAAUAGGGGAGCCGAAGGGAAACCGAGUCUUAACUGGGCGUUAAGUUGCAGGGUAUAGACCCGAAACCCGGUGAUCUAGCCAUGGGCAGGUUGAAGGUUGGGUAACACUAACUGGAGGACCGAACCGACUAAUGUUGAAAAAUUAGCGGAUGACUUGUGGCUGGGGGUGAAAGGCCAAUCAAACCGGGAGAUAGCUGGUUCUCCCCGAAAGCUAUUUAGGUAGCGCCUCGUGAAUUCAUCUCCGGGGGUAGAGCACUGUUUCGGCAAGGGGGUCAUCCCGACUUACCAACCCGAUGCAAACUGCGAAUACCGGAGAAUGUUAUCACGGGAGACACACGGCGGGUGCUAACGUCCGUCGUGAAGAGGGAAACAACCCAGACCGCCAGCUAAGGUCCCAAAGUCAUGGUUAAGUGGGAAACGAUGUGGGAAGGCCCAGACAGCCAGGAUGUUGGCUUAGAAGCAGCCAUCAUUUAAAGAAAGCGUAAUAGCUCACUGGUCGAGUCGGCCUGCGCGGAAGAUGUAACGGGGCUAAACCAUGCACCGAAGCUGCGGCAGCGACACUAUGUGUUGUUGGGUAGGGGAGCGUUCUGUAAGCCUGUGAAGGUGUACUGUGAGGUAUGCUGGAGGUAUCAGAAGUGCGAAUGCUGACAUAAGUAACGAUAAAGCGGGUGAAAAGCCCGCUCGCCGGAAGACCAAGGGUUCCUGUCCAACGUUAAUCGGGGCAGGGUGAGUCGACCCCUAAGGCGAGGCCGAAAGGCGUAGUCGAUGGGAAACAGGUUAAUAUUCCUGUACUUGGUGUUACUGCGAAGGGGGGACGGAGAAGGCUAUGUUGGCCGGGCGACGGUUGUCCCGGUUUAAGCGUGUAGGCUGGUUUUCCAGGCAAAUCCGGAAAAUCAAGGCUGAGGCGUGAUGACGAGGCACUACGGUGCUGAAGCAACAAAUGCCCUGCUUCCAGGAAAAGCCUCUAAGCAUCAGGUAACAUCAAAUCGUACCCCAAACCGACACAGGUGGUCAGGUAGAGAAUACCAAGGCGCUUGAGAGAACUCGGGUGAAGGAACUAGGCAAAAUGGUGCCGUAACUUCGGGAGAAGGCACGCUGAUAUGUAGGUGAAGCGACUUGCUCGUGGAGCUGAAAUCAGUCGAAGAUACCAGCUGGCUGCAACUGUUUAUUAAAAACACAGCACUGUGCAAACACGAAAGUGGACGUAUACGGUGUGACGCCUGCCCGGUGCCGGAAGGUUAAUUGAUGGGGUUAGCGGUAACGCGAAGCUCUUGAUCGAAGCCCCGGUAAACGGCGGCCGUAACUAUAACGGUCCUAAGGUAGCGAAAUUCCUUGUCGGGUAAGUUCCGACCUGCACGAAUGGCGUAAUGAUGGCCAGGCUGUCUCCACCCGAGACUCAGUGAAAUUGAACUCGCUGUGAAGAUGCAGUGUACCCGCGGCAAGACGGAAAGACCCCGUGAACCUUUACUAUAGCUUGACACUGAACAUUGAGCCUUGAUGUGUAGGAUAGGUGGGAGGCUUUGAAGUGUGGACGCCAGUCUGCAUGGAGCCGGCCUUGAAAUACCACCCUUUAAUGUUUGAUGUUCUAACGUUGGCCCCUGAUCGGGGUUGCGGACAGUGUCUGGUGGGUAGUUUGACUGGGGCGGUCUCCUCCUAAAGAGUAACGGAGGAGCACGAAGGUUGGCUAAUCCUGGUCGGACAUCAGGAGGUUAGUGCAAUGGCAUAAGCCAGCUUGACUGCGAGCGUGACGGCGCGAGCAGGUGCGAAAGCAGGUCAUAGUGAUCCGGUGGUUCUGAAUGGAAGGGCCAUCGCUCAACGGAUAAAAGGUACUCCGGGGAUAACAGGCUGAUACCGCCCAAGAGUUCAUAUCGACGGCGGUGUUUGGCACCUCGAUGUCGGCUCAUCACAUCCUGGGGCUGAAGUAGGUCCCAAGGGUAUGGCUGUUCGCCAUUUAAAGUGGUACGCGAGCUGGGUUUAGAACGUCGUGAGACAGUUCGGUCCCUAUCUGCCGUGGGCGCUGGAGAACUGAGGGGGGCUGCUCCUAGUACGAGAGGACCGGAGUGGACGCAUCACUGGUGUUCGGGUUGUCAUGCCAAUGGCACUGCCCGGUAGCUAAAUGCGGAAGAGAUAAGUGCUGAAAGCAUCUAAGCACGAAACUUGCCCCGAGAUGAGUUCUCCCUGAGACUUAGAGUCUCCUGAAGGAACGUUGAAGACGACGACGUUGAUAGGCCGGGUGUGUAAGCGCAGCGAUGCGUUGAGCUAACCGGUACUAAUGAACCGUGAGGCUUAACCUUACAACGCCGAAG
rnacentral:rRNA from 1 species